CAUUGNGCGGCACACUCAGCUAUCCGCCUGGGAACUACGAGCAGCAGCUUAAAACCCAAAGGACUUGGCGGUGCUUUAAAACCCAUCUAGAGGAGCCUGUUCUAGAACCGAUAAUCCCCGUUCAACCUCGCCCCCCCUCGUUUUCCCAGCCUAUAUACCGCCGUCGUCAGCUUACCCUGUGAAGGUAAGAUAGUAAGCAGAAUUGAUAGAAUCCGAAACGUCAAGGUCAGGUGUAGCAUAUNNNNNNNNNNUGGGCUACAUUCCCUACUACAUGAUAUGGCGUUAGGAGUAUUAAUGAUUCUUACCCCAUGAACGAGGAAU
rnacentral:rRNA from 1 species